rnacentral:sRNA from 1 species
UGAAAACCAUUCCAGUGCUGUAGGAG